UACGAGAGGCCCAAACGUUAUUCGGAUUUACUGGGCUUAAAGAGUUCGUAGGCGGCGCAGAAAGUAGGGUGUGAAAGCCCUCGGCUCAACCGAGGAAUUGCGCUCUAAACUACUGUGCUCGAGGAACCUAGAGGUGAGCAGAACUGAUGGUGUAGCGGUGAAAUGCGCAGAUAUCGGGAGGAACACCAAUGGCGAAGGCAGCUCGCUGGGACGGUACUGACGCUGAGACGCGAAAGCGUGGGGAGCAAACAGG
rnacentral:rRNA from 1 species